rnacentral:rRNA from 1 species
CCUACGGGUGGCAGCAGUCGAGACUCAUUCACAAUGGGGGAAACCCUGAUGGUGCGACGCCGCGUGGGGGAAUGAAGGUCUUCGGAUUGUACACCCCUGUCAUGUGGGAGCAAAUUAAAAAGAUAGUACCACAAGAGGAAGAGACGGCUAACUCUGUGCCAGCAGCCGCGGGAAUACAGAGGGCUCAAGCGUUGUUCGGAAUCACUGGGCGUAAAGCGUGCGUAGGCUGUUUCGUAAGUCGUGUGUGAAAGGCGCGGGCUCAACCCGCGGACGGCACAUGAUACUGCGAGACUAGAGUAAUGGAGGGGGAACCGGAAGUCUCGGUGUAGCAGUGAAAUGCGUAGAUAUCGAGAGGAACACUCGUGGCGAAGGCGGGUUCCUGGACAUUAACUGACGCGGAGGCACGAAGGCCAGGGGAGCGAAAGGGAUUAGAUACCCUUGUAGUC